UACCCGCGGCAAGACGGAAAGACCCCGUGAACCUUUACUAUAGCUUGACACUGAACACUGGUCCUUGAUGUGUAGGAUAGGUGGGAGGCUUUGAAGCGUGGACGCCAGUCUGCGUGGAGCCAUCCUUGAAAUACCACCCUUUAAUGGCUGGUGUUCUAACGUAGACCCGUGAUCCGGGUUGCGGACAGUGUCUGGUGGGUAGUUUGACUGGGGCGGUCUCCUCCCAAAGAGUAACGGAGGAGCACGAAG
rnacentral:rRNA from 1 species